CAAGCGGUGGAGCAUGUGGUUUAAUUCGAUGCAACGCGAAGAACCUUACCUACUCUUGACAUCCAGAGAACUUUCCAGAGAUGGAUUGGUGCCUUCGGGAACUCCGAGACAGGUGCUGCAUGGCUGUCGUCAGCUCGUGUUGUGAAAUGUUGGGUUAAGUCCCGCAACGAGCGCAACCCUUAUCCUUUGUUGCCAGCGGUUCGGCCGGGAACUCAAAGGAGACUGCCAGUGAUAAACUGGAGGAAGGUGGGGAUGACGUCAAGUCAUCAUGGCCCUUACGAGUAGGGCUACACACGUGCUACAAUGGCAUAUACAAAGAGAAGCGACCUCGCGAGAGCAAGCGGACCUCAUAAAGUAUGUCGUAGUCCGGAUUGGAGUCAGCAACUCGACUCCAUGAAGUCGGAAUCGCUAGUAAUCGUAGAUCAGAAUGCUACGGUGAAUACGUUCCCGGGCCUUGUACACACC
rnacentral:rRNA from 1 species